GUAGGUGGCAAGCGUUGUCCGGAAUUAUUGGGGCGUAGAGCGCGCGCAGGUGGUUCUUUAAGUCUGAUGUGAAAGCCCCCGGGCUCAACCGGGGAGGGUCAUUGGAAACUGGGGAACUUGAGUGCAGGAGAGGAAAGUGGAAUUCCACGUGUAGCGGUGAAAUGCGUAGAUAUGUGGAGGAACACCAGUGGCGAAGGCGACUUUCUGGCCUGUAACUGACACUGAGGCGCGAAAGCGUGGGGAGCAAACAGGAUUAGAUACCCUGGUAGUCCACGCCGUAAACGAUGAGUGCUAAGUGUUGGGGGGUUUCCGCCCCUCAGUGCUGCAGCUAACGCAUUAAGCACUCCGCCUGGGGAGUACGGUCGCAAAGACUG
rnacentral:rRNA from 1 species